rnacentral:rRNA from 1 species
CCUACGGGAGGCAGCAGUCGGGAAUAUUGCGCAAUGGAGGAAACUCUGACGCAGUGACGCCGCGUAUAGGAAGAAGGUUUUCGGAUUGUAAACUAUUGUCGUUAGGGAAGAUAAAAGACAGUACCUAAGGAGGAAGCUCCGGCUAACUACGUGCCAGCAGCCGCGGUAAUACGUAGGGGGCAAGCGUUAUCCGGAAUUAUUGGGCGUAAAGAGUACGUAGGUGGCAACCUAAGCGCAGGGUUUAAGGCAAUGGCUCAACCAUUGUUCGCCCUGCGAACUGGGAUGCUUGAGUGCAGGAGAGGAAA